GGCCAGCAUCAGUUUGGACGAUGGGAUAAUGACUCAGGAAUGUGAUUCUACUUCGGUGGAAAGUUAUAGCCUUUGUUGAUACCGUCUGUCUAGACUGAGCUGCGUCUUUUGACAAGGAUGUUGGCAUAAU
rnacentral:rRNA from 1 species